rnacentral:lncRNA from 1 species
AUAACAUGUGACCGAGAGUUGUCAGAAACAAGGGGUAUAGUAUCUAAAGUCUCGGGAAGAGUCUGGAGUCCACCUAAAGAAGUGUCCUCACUAUCAUCCAAGUCAUCAAAAUCUUCAAGUUUAGGUUCAUAGACUAGAUCUUCUAAUGGCACAUCUAUUACAUUCUUUUGUUCUUCCAUGACUAAGGUUCGAUUAGUACAUUUGGAAGAAAUGUGGCCAAAGUCCUUACAGCUGACGCACAACAAGUGAGAAGAAGUCCUUGAAGUUUCAAAAAUUGUACCCUUAUUUUCCAAGAUUGUAUGAAGAUUAGACGGGGAAGGUCUUAGAAGGGACUUAGCGGGAGGAGGUGGAGCCAAUGAAAUCAAAGGAUGUUUUUCAAUAUGCUUUCUACAUGGAGAAGAAGAUCUUGGACUAUCACGACCUUUACAAUUAUUUUUGCAAAUAGGAGGAACGUUAGAUGGAGAAGGCUUUAUGAUAGAUUUAUGACGAGGCGACGCUAAUGGGAUGGGUGAACGACGAUGACCACGCCUUUCAUAUGGAGUACUAAUAAUCAACUCAUAAUCUCGAGUUAACGAAUAAGCGUGAUCAAGAGUAGUGACACCUCGAACGAAAAACUCACGCCUAAGAUUAUCUCUCAGACUUUGGCUAAACCUACUCAAAGUCGUAGUCUCGUCCUCAAUUAAAUGACAU